UCUUGCCAAGUCUUAACACAUCUUCUCAUCAAAAUCUGGUGAUCAUUCACUUACAUUCAACUGCAUAUAUACAUACACAUUCAAUUGCCUCACUGAAGAGGGAAAAUAUUCAUAGGCAAUUCCUCCUUGCAGAGUAACAUUCCGGCAUCUCUCUUUUCCUCCCUUUUCCGGCAUGUCGUUUUUUCCGUCCAUCUUACCCUCCCCGGUUUAGAGAGUGUGUGGAGAAGGAUAGGCAUUUCAUCCAUCCUCAUCCAUUGACUUCAUUUCUAGAGGAGAUGGAAGUGGAUGUUACUAAUAACCUUCCUCAUACACUUGCACCAUUGCUGCUUGCGAAUUUUUUUGCACAAAUCAUGUCCCCAAAAAAUCAGCAACAGAUACUGCCAUCUCAAUCAUACACCAAUUGAUGGUGAUCCUAGGCACAUCCUUUGGCUCCAAGAAGGAAGUCACAGUCUCACCUACAAAUGUGAGGAUUGCGGUUUCGAAAUCCAUCCUCUGUCUGCAGUGGUUGCAGUUGAGAUCAAAAACAAACACAAGAGCAAUCCACCUCACCCCCUCGUGGCUCUUCGUAGAAGGAUUUGGUCUCUGUGUGAUGGUUGUGGGGAGAUACAUCAAGGUUUCUUCUUCUCGUCCACCUCACCCAACUCUGUGAUUUCUGGAUUCAUCAAGCCUGCACUGUACUGCCUCUGCUUCUCUCUCGUCCUCUGCCUCUGCUUCUGCUUCUCAUGUAUUCUAUUCCUGCCAAUACUCAAUCCAAACAAUGCAUAGUUUGCAACAGAUACCACCUUGUUACCAGUAGCGCCAUCUAUUUCUGUCCUCAAACCUUGAGCUUUACUCAUGUCAGAUGUCGUCUCGCGAACACUCAAUCCAGAACUAGGCUGGAGUUGAUCCAACAGCUAGAUGACGAGUUGGACAAAUUUCCAAGUUUGGAGAUCCGUACAUACUCCCAGAGAAACCAACAUGAUAGUAUUGGUGAUGAAGAUAGGAAGCCCGCAAUUGAGAUUUUUCACAAGUAUCCUUUGGUCUUAGUUGGUGAUAUGGAAGAAGAUCAUAAUUAUAAAAAAUUAGUAUGUGAUAUAUGCAUACAAACCAUUACUACUCCAUCUCGAUUUUACAGAUGUGCUCAACAAACUGGCGGUUGGUCGUUCCUUGCCCAUAAAGUCUGUGCAGACCUUCUCCCCCUUCUCAAGUUUGCACUUCCAGAUGAAUUCCUUGUAUGUGCACCUUGUCCGGAUCCGGCCCAAUGGUUCUUCAAUUCGAUAUUUUACUGUAUUUUUUGUUGUCUUCCUUGCAAUGGACCUUGCUACUACUUUCCUUUGGCUAGGAUUCGUGAUAAUGAUAUCCCCAUCAUGACAGUUGACGUGUUGUGCAUGGCUGCCCCAUUCAUUGCAAAUCACAGUUCACACAGCCAACACCUUCUCAUUCGCACCAACCGAAUUUCGCUGGCCUACCCCAUUAGUUGUU